rnacentral:rRNA from 1 species
GACGAACGCUGGCGGCGUGCCUAAUACAUGCAAGUUGAGCGCUGAAGGUUGGUACUUGUACCGACUGGAUGAGCAGCGAACGGGUGAGUAACGCGUGGGGAAUCUGCCUUUGAGCGGGGGACAACAUUUGGAAACGAAUGCUAAUACCGCAUAAAAACUUUAAACACAAGUUUUAAGUUUGAAAGAUGCAAUUGCAUCACUCAAAGAUGAUCCCGCGUUGUAUUAGCUAGUUGGUGAGGUAAAGGCUCACCAAGGCGAUGAUACAUAGCCGACCUGAGAGGGUGAUCGGCCACAUUGGGACUGAGACACGGCCCAAACUCCUACGGGAGGCAGCAGUAGGGAAUCUUCGGCAAUGGACGAAAGUCGGACCGAGCAACGCCGCGUGAGUGAAGAAGGUUGUCGGAUCGUAAAACUCUGUUGGUAGGGAAGAACGUUGGUGAGAGUGGAAAGCUCAUCAAGUGACGGUAACUACCCAGAAAGGGACGGCUAACUACGUG